UGGGGAAUUUUGGACAAUGGGCGAAAGCCUGAUCCAGCAAUGCCGCGUGUGUGAAGAAGGCCUUCGGGUUGUAAAGCACUUUUGUCCGGAAAGAAAUCCUUGGCUCUAAUACAGUCGGGGGAUGACGGUACCGGAAGAAUAAGCACCGGCUAACUACGUGCCAGCAGCCGCGGUAAUACGUAGGGUGCAAGCGUUAAUCGGAAUUACUGGGCGUAAAGCGUGCGCAGGCGGUUUGCUAAGACCGAUGUGAAAUCCCCGGGCUCAACCUGGGAACUGCAUUGGUGACUGGCAGGCUAGAGUAUGGCAGAGGGGGGUAGAAUUCCACGUGUAGCAGUGAAAUGCGUAGAGAUGUGGAGGAAUACCGAUGGCGAAGGCAGCCCCCUGGGCCAAUACUGACGCUCAUGCACGAAAAGCGUGGGGAGCAAAACAGGAUUCAGAUACCCUGGUAGUCCACGCCCUAAAACGAUGUCAACUAGUU
rnacentral:rRNA from 1 species